ensembl:lncRNA
AGCAACACGCCAUGCUUUACUAGCAGCUCACCAGGGACACACACACACAAACACACUGACAGACCGACAAACUCACGGAUCCAUGCAAAACCACACAGAAAUGCACCAAAAUACAGAAGCCCCACACACCGACGAGACGGGUACUCGGGGAAACAACAAGCGGCGGGUUCCAUAAUAGGCGGCUCACACACAGCACACGUCCCAGCAGAGCUCCGCCAUAGCAACAGUCUGCAAACAGCUAAUCUAUUCAGUGAUGCAGCAGUCCUCGCUCUGUGUGAGCACAGCCUCCAAUUAGACCUGCGUUUGUUUGUCAGUAGUUUGGAAAAACAGCAGCUCUGUAGUUGGGUUUGCAGCCUCGGCGCCGCGUCACCGCCGUCAUCCCACACGCCUUUAUUCUCUGGAACAAGAGACCUGAGGACGCGGAGCGUAGAUUCAAAUCACACCCACGGUCUGCAAUUACAAAAGCAGACCCUGAUAGAAACCCAUGCGGUACAAGUAAACACAACGAGCCCGUCUGUUACUGAAGUGAACUGCAGCUACAUGCGGCCGUUUACACUGGAUUCUGACCCCGCGCUUUCACCACACUUUCAUCACUGAGAGGCUGAAAACUGCAGGGAAGCGAAGCAGAGACGCCCGUGAGGAGAGAGGCAGCAGAGGACGUGACAGGGGAGGAGACGAGGAGGCGAGGAGGCGAGGACACGAGGAGACGAGGAGGCGAGGACACGAGGACACGAGGAGGCGAGGACACAAGGAGACGAGGAAGCGAGGAGGCGAGGAGGCGAGGAGGCGAGGACACGAGGAGGUGCGCUAACGGGAGCCAGCCUUGGCAAAUUGGACUGAAUUUUCCGCCUGGGCAAUUUCAAUACACAAACGCUUGCGUACAUAAGCGUGUUUAAUGAGUGCCAGGCUAAUACAUUGUAUAAUCUUCUUUAAAUUAAUGUCAGACACAAUUGCCUGGCAAUUAAUUCCUGUCACGCCACAUCCAAAUGAGGAGAUUUAUUUGGAUGUGUCAAUCAUGAAACCAGAUUACUGCUCAGUGUGAUAUCAUAAUGUGCAGUGUAUACGUCUGCUAUGCUUAAACAUCCAUUACCUGGGCUUUAAAGAGCCACUGACGAGGGCCGGCCAUCAAACAAAGGUCAUUGUGAUGACUGAGCGAAGGGAAAGGCAGCAGCCUUUUGUUUUAUGGCUUCAUAAAGGCUCUAAUGUCUCCACAGGCGAUGCAGCCAUCCAAUAUCCACUCACCAUUCUGUUUCAUGGCUUUUCCUUUACACACUUUGUCCCUUAUUGUUUCUCGGGAUCCUCUGUAGAUUAACUUCAGUCCGCACAAAGACCGGCGUGAAGUUUGAUGUCUUCAGUGACUCGUGGCUGCAGUAAGAAUGAAAGAAUCACGGCACAAUAGAAGGUACAGCAGCACUGAAACAUCACAUAUUCAACUUUAUAUUUCUAAUUUUCUAGUGACUUUCUAUUGAUUGACACUCCAAUUCUUCUUUUAAAUGUAGCUUUGUCAUGUGGCAGCGUCAACUUUAUCACCUGUGCAGGUCCUUCAUGGAAACAUUUGUGAACAUGGACCUGUAAAAACAAGUAUUACUGGUCUGCAGAUCAGCUGAAGGUUUACCACCAAACAGCUGCUAACAAGGUUUUAUAUAUGAUUAUAUCAAUGCAGACUAUGAGUCUCAUCGUCUCAUAGUCUGCAUUGAUGAUUGUCAGACUGCAAAUCUGAUACUUAAAAGAUUUAUUUUUCAGUCAGAUCAGAUUUUUAAAUUACAAAAUGAUUUUAAGAUCUGAACGGUGCAGACGUUUGUCUAUGUUUUAGGGCAAUAAAGUAUUAAUGUUCUGUAUAGUGGCUACA